rnacentral:miRNA from 1 species
CCAAUAUUACUGUGCUGCUUCA